AUGUUCACGACUUUCCAGGUGGACGAACAUACGUUCAAGGUGUGUUCUAUUUUGGGCAUGUCGGAUUCAGAACUUGAAGACCCGGACAAAGGAAGGAACUACUUCAUGAAAGCCUCGAUAAGCCAAGGUGAAUACUACUGCCAAUGCUGCAAAUUCGAACAGGACGGCAUUGCGUGCUGUCACAUACUAAAAGUAACGGACAUGAACGCGGUGACACGGAUGCCCCGCCAUUUCAUAAGGCGGCGAUGGACUUGGGACGCUGACGACGCAUUGGCACCGCAGACAUCAAACACAGUUUUGGCUAUGCAUGACGAGAGACCAGAGUCAACCAUGGAAGCCGUGCGACACAUUGUGUUAACAAAGAACUAUGCUAAACUAAUUGAUGAAGCGUGCAAGAGUGACGAGACAGUGAGGGUCGCAGAAAAACACAGGAAGGCCCUGAAAAGAGAGCUUAAUGAGAUCAAGAAGAGGAAAGCUGAGGAAGCCUUACACAGGUUCCCCCGCACAUCAAGUGUGCCUUCGUCCAUGGGGCCAUCGUCUGAAAACUCGGAGGUAGGAUCUGGAACAGCAAGCACACAAACCCAAGUCACGAACCCGCCCUGUUCCAUCACAAAGGGGCAUCCAAAAGAGAUAAGAUACAAAUCGGGAUUGGAGAUUCAAGCAAAACACAAGAAAACAAAGAAAGGGGUGGGCAAUCCGUAA
rnacentral:rRNA from 1 species